AUACGGGAGGCAGCAGUGAGGAAUAUUGGACAAUGGUCGGAAGACUGAUCCAGCCAUGCCGCGUGAAGGAAGAAGGCGCUCAGCGUUGUAAACUUCUUUUGGACGGGAACAAAACCACCCACUUGUGGGUGUCUGAGGGUACCGUCAGAAUAAGCACCGGCUAACUCCGUGCCAGCAGCCGCGGUAAUACGGAGGGUGCAAGCGUUAUCCGGAAUCACUGGGUUUAAAGGGUGCGUAGGCGGCCCGAUAAGUCAGUCGUGAAAUCGCUGGGCUUAACCCAUGCAACUGCGAUUGAUACUGUCGGGCUUGAAUCAGGUUGAGGCAGGCGGAAUGUGACAUGUAGCGGUGAAAUGCAUAGAUAUGUCAUAGAACACCGAUUGCGAAGGCAGCUUGCUGGACCUUGAUUGACGCUGAGGCACGAAAGCGUGGGGAGCAAACAGGAUUAGAUACCCGUGUAGUCC
rnacentral:rRNA from 1 species